CUAGUAACGGCGAGUGAAGCGGCAACAGCUCAAAUUUGAAAUCUGGCCCUCGGGUCCGAGUUGUAAUUUGCAGAGGAUGCUUUUGGCGCGGUGCCUUCCGAGUUCCCUGGAACGGGACGCCAUAGAGGGUGAGAGCCCCGUCUGGUCGGACACCAAGCCUAUGUAAAGCUCCUUCGACGAGUCGAGUAGUUUGGGAAUGCUGCUCUAAAUGGGAGGUAUAUGUCUUCUAAAGCUAAAUAUUGGCCAGAGACCGAUAGCGCACAAGUAGAGUGAUCGAAAGAUGAAAAGCACUUUGAAAAGAGAGUUAAACAGUACGUGAAAUUGUUGAAAGGGAAGCGCUUAUGACCAGACUUGGGCCUGUUGGAUCAACUUGGGUUCUCCCGGGUGCACUCCCUCAGGUUCAGGCCAGCAUCAGUUCGGCGCGGGGGAUAAAGGUUUCGGGAACGUGGCUCCCCUCGGGGAGUGUUAUAGCCCGUUGCGUAAUACCCUGCGCUGGACUGAGGACCGCGCGAAAGCAAGGAU
rnacentral:rRNA from 1 species